rnacentral:rRNA from 1 species
GAUGAACGCUGGCGGCGUGCCUAAUACGUGCAAGUCGAGCGAGCAGACGAGGAGCUUGCUCCUCUGACGUUAGCGGCGGACGGGUGAGUAACUCGUGGAUAACCUACCUAUAAGACUGGGAUAACUUCGGGAAACCGGAGCUAAUACCGGAUAAUAUAUUGAACCGCAUGGUUCAAUAGUGAAAGACGGUUUUGCUGUCACUUAUAGAUGGAUCCGCGCCGCAUUAGCUAGUUGGUAAGGUAACGGCUUACCAAGGCAACGAUGCGUAGCCGACCUGAGAGGGUGAUCGGCCACACUGGAACUGAGACACGGUCCAGACUCCUACGGGAGGCAGCAGUAGGGAAUCUUCCGCAAUGGGCGAAAGCCUGACGGAGCAACGCCGCGUGAGUGAUGAAGGUCUUCGGAUCGUAAAACUCUGUUAUUAGGGAAGAACAAAUGUGAAAGUAACUAUGCACGUCUUGACGGUACCUAAUCAGAAAGCCACGGCUAACUACGUG